CCUACGGGUGGCAGCAGUGGGGAAUAUUGCGCAAUGGGCGAAAGCCUGACGCAGCGACGCCGCGUGCGGGAUGAAGGUCUUCGGAUCGUAAACCUCUGUCAGCAGGGAAGAACGGUCACUGUGCUAAUCAGCAGUGAAUUGACGGUACCUGCUAAGGAAGCACCGGCUAACUCCGUGCCAGCAGCCGCGGUAAUACGGAGGGUGCGAGCGUUAAUCGGAAUUACUGGGCGUAAAGCGCUCGUAGGCGGUAUGUCAAGUCAAGGGGGAAAUCCCCGCGCUCAACGUGGGAACCGCCUUUGAAACUAGCAAACGAGAGUGUGAGAGAGGAAAGGGGAAUUCCAGGUGAAGGAGUGAAAUGCGUAGAUAUCUGGAAGAACAUCAGAGGCGAAGGCGACUAUCUGGCACAAAACUGACGCUGAGGGGCGAAAGCGUGGGUAGCAAACAGGAUUAGAUACCCUGGUAGUC
rnacentral:rRNA from 1 species